rnacentral:lncRNA from 1 species
CCCAGGCUACAACUCCUCUAUAUCCAUACAUUUCUCAGCAUAUGAUAUUUAUUUAUUUUACAACAGUAAAUAAGGAAAUUCAAGUAUCUAACGUAUCAUCAUGUCCCUUUUUUUUGUGAGAAAACAUGUAAAGUACUCUUCAAUUUAUCAUAGACUUGCAGCAUUCAUAAUCACCAACAAAUCUCUUUCAACUUGAAGACCAUUGUCGAAAUUAACAGUCCUUUUGAUGUUUGCAAUAGCUAUCCGAGCUGCUUCUCUAUAUUUUUUUCC